rnacentral:lncRNA from 1 species
UAACUUAAAAAAUAGUGUAAAACCAUUUUGUUGCAGGUCUUCUAAAAAUAAUAUUAAUUUUUAGAGUAUACUGAGUUAUGUUUGUGGAUAUAUUUGGUAUAUUAAGGCUUCAUGGUGCUUGAGUGGUUUCUGAAAGAUGCUUCUUAAGAAAUGCUUAAAAGUACCCACUGCCUUCAUUUCAUUCUGCAGUGGACAGCAGCAUCUCUGAGGCUGAUAUAAGGCACUGUUCAGUAUCAAUUGCUUCUUCCCUCCCUAUGCUAGUUUUCUGCCCAUUUUCAACUUACUCUGGGAGGCUUGGAGGAGAACAACAUUUUGUUUUGGGUAAGGAGAAACUUCCAGUAGACAGCACUGUAUUUAUGUGGAAGAUUGGUUAUUUGUGAUAGAACCAUCAAUGGUAGGAUGGUCAGGAGUCUAUGUUUAAAUAUCUUCUCUACAAAUCUCAUCCGAGUAAAGCAAUAUAGGUCUAUUAAAAUCCCCAACCUGGUUAAACAUUUUUAAAAAUACUAUAAUAUAGCAAGGCAUGGAUGUUAUUGACCUAGUAUGCAAGCCUUCCUGAGUAUAUCAGUUACAAGAUGCCACCUACUUGUUUUUCCUUUCCUAUAGCAUUGAUGAUCAUGCAGAACUUCAUUUAAAUAAAGUUAAAGAGCCGUAUGUGGCCAGUGGCAACUAUACCGGACAGUGCAGCCUUCAUCAUUCCUAAGUGAUACUUGGCAAAUGGAUGCCUGCAAGAAGGGCAGUGGUGGUAAGAGAUUUCACUGUUUGAUUUGGAGUUCAUUCCAAGGGAAAUUCUCCAAGAGCCACAGCUCAGGCAUGGAUCCAAACAUAUAACCCAAGAAAGACCAACAAAAGGAACAAGAGAAACAGAAGCAAAAGAUAUUUCAGCCAUUCCCUGUGAGACUAAAUUAUGAAAAGCAGAUGGCUUAUUCAAACAUAUGGAUAUGACAGUGCAAGUUCUGGUGAGGACAGAAGCAUCUCAGAGAACAUUUUCUCCUUGAGAAUCCAAGAAAGGUUGUGUCUGUGGUCUGUGUUCCUUUCUACUGGGGACAGUGGAUGGAGGAAAGCAAAAACGGAGCCCUGGGAUGAUCAUGCCAUGAGACAGCAGGAAAUUGGGGCCUCCAAAUCUCUGCAGGAAGGAAAGGACUGCAGACCAAAAACAGCUAAAUUCUUAUGUCAGGGAGCAAUACAAUCUAUUGAGCUAAGCUACCAAACAUGUGAGCAUUUUAUUUGGUUUUGUUAUAGCAGCUGGUGUUACACUUAACAAUAAAGUCUUGAUGAAGCUUGAAUAGAAGCAUUAUCUA